rnacentral:rRNA from 1 species
GACAGAGGGGGCGAGCGGUGUCCGGAGUCACUGGGCGUAAAGCGCGCGCAGGCGGUCGCCAAAGUGUCGUGUGAAAGCCCCCCGGCUCAACCGGGGGAGGCCAUGGCAAACUCGGCGACUGGAGCGGCGGAGAGGCCCCUCGAAUUGCCGGUGUAGCGGUGAAAUGCGUAGAGAUCGGCAGGAAGACCAAGGGGGAAGCCAGGGGGCUGGCCGCUGGCUGACGCUGAGGCGCGACAGCGUGGGGAGCGAACCGG